GAUCAUGGCUCAGGAUGAACGCUAGCGACAGGCUAACACAUGCAAGUCGAGGGGCAGCAUAAAAGUAGCAAUACUUGGUGGCGACCGGCGCACGGGUGAGUAACGCGUAUGCAACCUACCUAUCAGAGGGGAAUAACCCGGCGAAAGUCGGACUAAUACCGCAUAAAACAGGGACACCGCAUGGUGAUAUUUGUUAAAGAAAUUCGCUGAUAGAUGGGCAUGCGUUCCAUUAGGUAGUUGGUGAGGUAACGGCUCACCAAGCCGACGAUGGAUAGGGGAACUGAGAGGUUGGUCCCCCACACUGGUACUGAGACACGGACCAGACUCCUACGGGAGGCAGCAGUGAGGAAUAUUGGUCAAUGGGCGGGAGCCUGAACCAGCCAAGUCGCGUGAAGGAAGAAGGAUCUAUGGUUCGUAAACUUCUUUUGCAGGGGAAUAAAGUGCAGGACGUGUCCUGUUUUGUAUGUACCCUGAGAAUAAGGAUCGGCUAACUCCGUGCCAGCCGCCGC
rnacentral:rRNA from 1 species